UGAGCUCGCCGGUAGGAGGUGCAGCUGUGCGCCGUCCGGGGUACCCACAGGCGUGUGCGAGUGUUGAUGGGGGAGCUAGUGGAGUCUUCUGCUCUACACCCAAGGGAACCGAGGACCGUCCACCCUCCGCGCCCCGUCUGCCCUGAAGUAACCCUUUUGUGACCCGCCAGUGCUAUUUUGAGAAUAACAAGGGAAACUUUGAUACCUGCAGGAACGCCUUAUUUUACAGAUGAAGAAACAGGCCCGCUUUGCUCAAGGGGAAAUGUGGAUAAUGUCACGCACACAGGGAGAGCGGCAUAUGGAGAUGAAGAUGGAGAUCAAGAUGAUGCUUCUACAAGCCAAGGAAUACCAAAAGUUGCCAGCCACCCACCAGAAGCUGGGAGAGAGGCAUGAAACAGAUUAUCCCUCACAGCCUCCGGAAGGAACCAACCCUGUGGACACCUUGAUCUCGAACUUCUAGCCUCC